AAAAUGUGCACCUAUAUAAGUCUGGCUAUCACCACCGGGUACGUCACAUCUGUGACGUGUCCAACUGGUCCACGAUGCUUACUGAGGUCCUAGGUGGACCAUGUACAAAGGCGGGCAGAAGUGGCGGACUCAGCAAUUUUAUCACAACUCAGCGAGGGACACCAAGCCAUAUUCCCGGCCAUCUUGACUAGCAAGCGUGGUGUGGAUAAGAAUGUUGUACGCUUUCUGAGAGACAGAACCGAAGGAAACACUAUGGUCAAGCUGUGGCGGCAGAUACAGGAGAGUCACAUGGAGGAGUACCUUCAGCGGAAGGACCUGUACACCACACUCCUAAUGACUUUUGCGGAGCCCGGGGGCAUCGUCUCAGCCUUACGGCACACAUUCCAGGCACCACUUCCUCCAAGAGCGCUUCCCUCUGCAUGGCUGUUGCGCCACGCUUUCCUGCUGGCAGAGGCCAGCAAUGUGAGGGAUUACCGAAGCCAGAUUCUGUCCACUUUUGGCACUGUGCUGAAAAUGGAUUCCACCAAAAAAGUGGUGAAAAAGCUGUCUGGGGAAGGUCAAGGCUCAGCAGAAUGGCUCACCAGUAUCGGAAAUGAGCACUCACAAAUAGUUACAUUUGUGCUGACCUGCGAGGAGUCCUUUGCAAGCUGCAGCCAAUGUGCCGUGGAGUCAUGGAGAGGUUUCACUUGGCCAAUCAGCCUGUUCCCAAAAUUUUGUAUGUGGACCGUGGGUGUUGCCGUGCACAGGGACCAUCAGUAGUAGAGGCCUUGUUUCAGCCUUGGGUGGACAGUGGGAUGCUUGUGCGUCUGGACAUCUUUCACUGGAUCCACCGGUUUGAUGCAGCCAUCCUUACAGUCUCAUGCAAAGUACUCUGCAUUUAAGUCUGCAGUAGCUGGGGUGGUGCUGGCUUACCACCGCACAGACCUUGAGCUGCUUAUAAGGGCCGUCAGAGCAAAGAACCCAGUAAAAAUGCAGUCUGUGUCCGACGAGGAAGUUGUCCGCCUUUACAUUUCCAGGGAGCAGUUAAAACACCAUGUGCGCAGGGUCACACUUGGGGCUCAGGAAACGUUUCGGCUCAUCCAAUUGGUUAUCGAGGAGCUGAAAGGUCCAGCUGGGCUGGAUGAGA
ensembl:lncRNA